rnacentral:rRNA from 1 species
AAUGAACGCUGGCGGCAGGCCUAACACAUGCAAGUCGAACGAGGUAGCAAUACCUAGUGGCGGACGGGUGAGUAACGCGUGGGAACGUGCCCCUUGGUACGGAAUAGCCCUGGGAAACUGGGAGUAAUACCGUAUGUGGUCGAGAGACGAAAGAUUUAUCGCCAAGGGAUCGGCCCGCGUUGGAUUAGGUAGUGUGCGGGGUAAUGGCCUACCAAGCCGACGAUCCAUAGCUGGUUUGACAGGAUGAUCCGCCACACUGGUACUGGGGCACGGGCCAGACUCCUGCGGGAGGGAGCAGUGGGGAGAAUUUGACCAUGGGGGAAACCCUGAUCUAGCCAUGCGGCGUGAUAGAUGAAGGCCUGAGGGUUGUAAAGAACUUUCAGUGGGGAAGAUAAUGACGGUACGCGCAGAAGAAGCCCCGGCUAACUCCGUGCCAGCAGCCGCGGUAA